UACGGAGGGUGCGAGCGUUGUCCGGAAUCACUGGGCGUAAAGGGCGCGUAGGCGGCGUCGCGAGUCAACGGUGAAAGCUCAGGGCUCAACCCUGAGUCGGCCGUCGAUACUGCGAGGCUUGAGCACUGUAGAGGCAGGUGGAAUUCCGGGUGUAGCGGUGGAAUGCGUAGAGAUCCGGAAGAACACCAGUGGCGAAGGCGGCUCACUGGCCCGAUACUGACGCUGAGGCACGAAAGCGUGGGGAGCAAACAGG
rnacentral:rRNA from 1 species